UUCCUCCAGCAUCUUGGCGUCGCACCAAGCAAGGGACUAGCUCCUCUUCAUGUAAACAAGGGGAAUUUCAAAAUCCAACCCUCCUUUAUAUAGAAAGAAAGGUUGGCAAAGAAUAAGGACUACACAGAAUUUUAAAUUGGACUCCUAAUUACAUGAGGACUCAAUUCAAAAUUUAAAUUUUCUAAUUGACCAAUCAAAGGCCUUGACACCUAAGCCUAAACACCUAGGAAUCCAUUCCAUAUGGCGUGUGGAUUGAAACUCAUAAAAGGAGUUCAGCCGCAUGCCAUGAAUUAGACUAGGUGAACCCACUCCAUGCCGCAUGGGAUCAAGUCCAAUGACCUUAGACUCUCUUCCUUUUGACAUGUAACCACUUCUAAUUAGCCAUGGACCCAUUCACGCCUUGGACUCAAUGUAAUUGACGUUGAAGAGGCUAACCCAUUGUAAAUCAAAUCACUUAUUACAUGGACUCAAUCUAAUUUCAGCUUGGACUCAACUUUGCUUGGACUCAAAUUCUUUUCACCCCUCACCCAAUGUCCCAUGCUAUUAGAAUGAGGGUGGUGCUCCUGCAUCAACUCUCCCUAGCUGGAAAAAGACUCGUCUCUGUCGAGUUUCGCAACUGAUAGAGCUCGUAGAGAUCCGGGUUCAAUCGUUGGACUUCCUCCGUCUUCAACCAAGAACAAUCUGAAAUUGGCCCGCCUUUCCAUUUAACUAGAAAUUUCCAUCCAAAAUGUCUUCAAUGGUUUCUUUAGGGGUUGAUCGACGUGGUAGUUGUAGGCUCAUGUGUGGCGUAUCUAAAGAAAAACCAGCUCAAAAUUUAGUUUCUGCAAGG
rnacentral:lncRNA from 1 species